AAGCAGCCCAGGAAACCACAUUAUUGAGUGCAGCGUUGACGAUAAUAAAAAUUGCCCACAAAGUAUUUCUCUCUCUCUCUCUGUGGAAUUCUGUGUAUAUCGUUAACUUUGCAUUCGAUAAUCUGCUUGCCCAUGGCUCCUU
rnacentral:pre_miRNA from 1 species